AACGAACGCUGGCGGCAGGCUUAACACAUGCAAGUCGAACGCCCCGCAAGGGGAGUGGCAGACGGGUGAGUAACGCGUGGGAAUCUACCCAGUUCUACGGAACAACACAGGGAAACUUGUGCUAAUACCGUAUACGCCCAAGGGGGAAAGAUUUAUCGGAAUUGGAUGAGCCCGCGUUGGAUUAGCUAGUUGGUGAGGUAAUGGCUCACCAAGGCGACGAUCCAUAGCUGGUCUGAGAGGAUGAUCAGCCACACUGGGACUGAGACACGGCCCAGACUCCUACGGGAGGCAGCAGUGGGGAAUAUUGGACAAUGGGCGCAAGCCUGAUCCAGCCAUGCCGCGUGAGUGAUGAAGGCCUUAGGGUUGUAAAGCUCUUUUCAGUGGGGAAGAUAAUGACGGUACCCACAGAAGAAGCCCCGGCUAACUUCGUGCCAGCAGCCGCGGUAAGGCACGACUGU
rnacentral:rRNA from 1 species